UUGUGUAGAUGACAAAUCAUAAAAAACUUAAUAAAUGAUACCAAUAUUACUUACCUUUGGUGAUGAGAAAAUUGACACAAGUAACUUGGCUAUAUUGUAUUAUGCUAUAAAAAUUUGUGAAAAGAAAGUUUUAAUCCUUGUGUGUGUGAAGGCAGGAAGGGGAAAUCCGAAAUCAAUAGAGAAAUGAACACAGGAGUGAAAUGCAACUUCCAGUUGUAAACUUGAUACCAGGUAGAGACAAGAUGUACUGACACAAGCAGGCUACCUGACACUGCCUGCAAGUUUUGUUAAGUACAUCUGCUCAUAACAGCCAGAGUUGAGAAAACAUAGGUCUUUGUUUCUUUCAGGAACAGGCUAGUUAUUGCAAAGAAGAGGAGAAGGACUGUAACCUGAGAAUAAGCUGCUCCAGAAAAAAAAAAAAAAAAAAAAAAACUAUAAAGAAUUGAGCCACAGAGAUCAAUCUACUUAUCUCUAUAUGACCAAUUUAUCAGUUAAAUCAUUUUUCCUUUUACGAGCACUCAGUAAGGGGUUGAGGAAAUAAAGGUCCUCUCCAAAACCUUUACUCUAGGAGAGAAUUUCCCUCCUCACCAGAUAAACAGGAAGGUAAGGAAUGAAUAUUUCCUUUUUCAAACGAAGGCAUCACAACAGGGUGGAAUUGGAGUUGCUCUAUGAAAAAAAGCUGAAGUAUGCAUAGCCUGCCUGAUCACUGGUGUAGAGUCAAAGAAAUAAAGUUUGAACUUGAACAGCAAUGCUUCCUUGGAAUAUUCUCUCCAUGAGGCUUUGGAUGGUAUACUCAUUUGGACAGAAGGUUUCAAAAGAAAGAAGAAGAGAGAGAGGAGAAAAGAAGAAAAGAAAAGAAAAGAAAAGAAAGAAAAGAAAAGAGAAAUGAAAAAAAAAAUAGGAAAACAGGUGAAGACAAUGAACAAAUGGCUCCACUUUUGUAACCAACAGAGAUUCCAGCAUGAUCACAAACAAAACAUCUGACAACUCAAAAAAGUAUCUCCAUGUGUUUCCACACAUGGACCAAUUUGGACUGGAAUGAAAAGUGUGAGCUACCACAAACAGUUCCUCUUCAGGUCAUAUAUGGUGGUCACCCCAACACUAUGCUCUUCUGUAAAACAUUUUACACUUACAGCCUUGUCCAGUUUCUCUCUCCAACAACUUGACUUCCUGUGCUAUAGAUAAGUAUCAAUGCCUCCUCUUUUUUAAAUCACUGUGGCCCAUAAAGAUAUUUCUAGGCCUCUUGACAUUUUCAACUCUAUUUUUACACCACAGACCUGAGAAUAAUGAAAAAAUGCAGUAAGUAAUGUACAUAGGUCUUUUCCUCAUGUGGGACAUUGCGGGUAACCUGACAUUGGUGAGACUGGACUGAACAUAUGCCAUUUUAUUACCCUCUGUGGCUGUGCCUGUGUGGGAGAAUCCGUAUGUGUGUGGGAAAGGUCUGUCACAUCUGAAGAGGGCUGGAAGGGUCUUUUCUCCUUUGAUGAUAAUGAAUAAACUGCAUGUUGUGCACCUGUGUAUUGACCAUGACCCAUCACGUGAGGUCAGCGUGGAAUUUUCUACUUGUGGUGUCAUGUUGGCACCCAAAAAUUUCAGAUUUUUGAGCAUUUUGAAUUUCAGAUUUUUGGAUUAGCUAUACUCAACCUGCAAUGUUUAUAUUUACAUAAUAUGAAUGAAGAGAGGCUUAAAAUAAGGUCAAAUAACUUUCUCAAAAUUGCAGAUGGUAAACACUGGGCCAUUUUAUUAAGAUUAUUGUGAAGCUUCCUGAUUGAUCUCAGUGAUCUCAAUCUCACUGUAUGUCAUACUGCUACCAGAAUAAUUUUUCAAUAUGUAAAUCUAAUUCUACUAGUUACCUGCCUAAAAUCUCGAGGUAGAUUCCCAUAUGAUUUGAAAGUAUUUUUUGACUUUUUCUUGCAUAUUGUUCUUUUUGUAUGGGCCACUGCAAUAAUUCUGGACUUUUUCCAAGCUAAAUUAUUUAUUGCUCCCAUUACUUGUUUACAUGUGCUCUUCCCGCUGCUAGAGCUUUCUCCAUUCUUUUAUUCAUAUGCUCAAUUACAAUUCUUUCUUUAAACAUGUUUCAUCACACCUAAGAAGUUGUUUCAAACAUCUCAAUCUGAUAUAAAAUGAACUCUGUAUCAAACUUUAUCAGCCCCUAUCCCAUGCUAUUAAAAUUAUUUCUUUCUUACCAGGCACACUUUUGAAACUACAAACUUUUGAAUACACACAUACACACACACACACACACACACACACACACCCCAUACAUACUCAAUAUACUUAUAUACUCAAUAUAUGUGUCUGUAUAUAUAUAUAUAAAAAUAAUAUAUAUGUAUGCAUUAAUCGUGCAGAUUUAUGUAGUUCUGCAUAAUUUUUUCAUUUUGUCAGUUCACAC
rnacentral:lncRNA from 10 species